rnacentral:rRNA from 1 species
AUUGAACGCUAGCGGGAUGCUUUACACAUGCAAGUCGAACGAGUGGCGGACGGGUGAGUAAUGUAUGGGAACGUGCCCAGUAGCGGGGGAUAACUACUCGAAACAGUGGCUAAUACCGCAUACCAUCGGAUGUGCCCAUAUGGGAUUAGCUUGUUGGUGGGGUAAAGGCUCACCAAGGCCACGAUCCCUAGCUGGUCUGAGAGGACGACCAGCCACACUGGGACUGAGACACGGCCCAGACUCCUUCGGGAGGCAACAGUGGGGAAUUAUGGACAAUGGGGGGAACCCUUAUCCAGCCAUCCCGCGUUGUUGAGAAGGCCUUCGGGUUGGAAAAUACUUUUGGCAGGGAAGCGGUAUCUUGAAGAUAAGCACCGGGUAACUACGUGCCAGCAGCCGCGGUAAUAC